rnacentral:rRNA from 1 species
CGAGCACGCGCGUGUGGCAUAUCAAUAAGCGGAGGAAAAGAAACUAACAAGGAUUCCCUUAGUAACGGCGAGUGAAGCGGGAAGAGCUCAAAUUUGAAAUCUUCAAGGUUCUACCUUGACGAAUUGUAGUUUAUAGAAGUGUUUUCUGUUAGUGGAGUGGCAAAAGUUCUUUGGAAUAGGACAUCAUAGAGGGUGAGAAUCCCGUAUUUGGUCAUUCCUCCUAGCGUUGUGAUACACUUUCAACGAGUCGGAUUGUUUGGGAAUGCAGUCCAAAAUGGGUGGUAAAUUUCAUCUAAAGCUAAAUAUUGGCGAGAGACCGAUAGCGAACAAGUACCGUGAGGGAAAGAUGAAAAGAACUUCGAAAAGAGAGUUAAACAGUACGUGAAAUUGUCAAAAGGGAAGCGUUUGACACCAGUGUUGUUUUUCCGAAAAUCAAUUACGAAUGUUUUAUUUUUGAGGAGUUAUGACUUCAUCGGCUUGCUCCUUUCUUUAUGAAACUUUCUUAAUGCACUUUUCGGUUAACAAGUCAACAUCAAUUUCUUUUGUUGUAAAAGGGUAUGAGGAAGGUGGCUUUCUUUUCGGAGAAAGUGUUUAUAGCCUUGUGCCUCUGCAAUCGGAGAGAUUGAGGUCUGCAGCGUAGAUCCUUCUGGGUUAGAUACAUUUGUGCUAAGUUAUAGCUUGUCAUAGACAACUUGUUGACUAUGUUCAGUCAUUGUAGCUUACUCGCUUACUGCUAUUUUACCUACGCUUAGGAUGUUGAUGUGAUACUGCGAGCA